rnacentral:ncRNA from 1 species
GCGGAUCGCACGGUCUAGCACCGGCGACGGAUCAUUCAAGUGUCUGCCCUAUCAACUUUCGUCGGUACGGUAUUUGCCUACCGAGGUUCUUACGGGUGACGGGGAAUCAGGGUUCGAUUCCGGAGAGGGAGCCUGAGAAACGGCUACCACAUCCAAGGAAGGCAGCAGGCGCGCAAAUUACCCAUUUCCUACGCGGGGAGGUAGUGACGAAAAAUAACAAUGCAGGACUCGUUCGAGGCCCUGUAAUUGGAAUGAGUACACUUUAAAAGCUUUAACGAGUAUCCAUUGGAGGGCAAGUCUGGUGCCAGCAGCCGCGGUAAUUCCAGCUCCAAAAGUAUAUAUUUAAGUUGUUGCGGUUAAAAAGCUCGUAGUUGGAUUUUGGGCGCAGGCGGCCGGUCCGUCGCAAGGCGUGUACUGGACGUCCUGGCCUUCCCUCCGGUUCUCCGCCGGUGCUCUUGACUGAGUGUCGGCGGCGGCCGGAACGUUUACUUUGAAAAAAUUAGAGUGUUCAAAGCAGGCUCUCGAGCCUGGAUAAUGGUGCAUGGAAUAAUGGAAUAGGACCUCGGUUCUAUUUUGUUGGUUUUCGGAGCGCGAGGUAAUGAUUAAGAGGGACAGACGGGGGCAUUCGUACUGUGCCGUUAGAGGUGAAAUUCUUGGAUCGGCGCAAGACGAACGACUGCGAAAGCAUUUGCCAAGAAUGUUUUCUUUAAUCAAGAGCGAAAGUCAGAGGUUCGAAGACGAUCAGAUACCGUCCUAGUUCUGACUAUAAACGAUGCCAACUAGCGAUCGGGGGGCGUUACAUUGACGACCCCUCCGGCAGCUUACGGGAA